UACGUAGGUGGCAAGCGUUGUCCGGAUUUACUGGGCGUAAAGGGCGUGCAGGCGGUCUGUUAAGUUCAGGGUGAAAGCCCCGGGCUCAACCUGGGAAUGGCGAUGGAUACUGGCGCGCUAGAGUGCGGUAGAGGAGAGUGGAAUUCCCGGUGUAGCAGUGAAAUGCGUAGAGAUCGGGAGGAACAUCAGUUGCGAAGGCGGCUCUCUGGACCAGCACUGACACUGAGGCACGAAAGCGUGGGGAGCAAACAGGG
rnacentral:rRNA from 1 species